UAGGACAAAACAUAUCACAAGAUCUCUCUGCAUGGUCUUGUGUCUCCUGCUUCUUCCUUUCCCUCUCUCUCUGUGGCCACAAGGAAUCCUGCUAAUCCACCUCUCUGCAUGAAGAUGAAGAGAUCAUUCUUAACAGCGCACUUAGAGCAGCUCUCUAAGAAUUUUUCCAGCAAACCAUUCACCACAGCCCUCUGAAAAAGUGUGAUUGGUUUUGAUAAGUAUGUUUUGCCAUGCCAUCUUUCGUCAGGAAUUCAUCUUCCAAAAGAGCCACUACCUCAUCAUGAAUACUCAUCAUUAAUACAAGUACACAGGUGAAGGAUGGCUCAGCAGCGUGAUGUCUCCCUGAUGUGCACAGGAUUUGACCAUUCCUCUCAGUCGGCCCAGCCCUGCAGAUUGCCCUGCUGGUCCUCCUUGCUUUAGGCCAAAUGCCUCCUCCUUUGCAGCACCUCACCAUCUGGUCCAGCCCAAAGGUACGUCCCUGCUUUAUCAGUUCAGCACCUCUUUUCACAUUUCACUUGAAAAUGCACAUGCGAGAUAAGGAGAAAUUUCUUCCAGAUGUCAGGAACUGAAAAUUAACAAAUCCUUGAACAGACAGAGGUGAUAUUAUGUGAUGGGAACACUCUGGGAUAAUUAGAAAGAGAAAAAAGUCUUCUUUUAGAGGUCAAGGUUUAAAUCUCCUUGAAGACGUUUUAAGUAUUUAAUGUCUCCGCACUACUCCCAGCACUAUCUCAUCCAGAAUUUGUCUAAAUAAAGGCCUGGGAACAUUUCAGAAAUAUGUUCUAUGUAUUGAAGAAUGACAAACUGCAAAGACAAGACAAAUCAGCCGUAAAUCCGGACUGGUUCUGGGGUCUGUCCUGUCCAGUCUGUCCUGUCCCAGGCUGUGCAGCUUCUCCUAAGGGACCUGGGAGCUUCUCCACCUCGAGAGACAUCAGCUCAGCGUUCCCACCGGUGGGCUGUGGAGCAGAGAGGUGUCCUCCAAGUUGUAGCUGCAAGCUCCAUAUUGCACACAUGGGGCAUUUUCCAGACACAGGGCACGUUUACUUGGCUCCUCACCACCACAACUUUCCAUUUACAAUGGGAACAAAACAAACGCAGCCCUUGUUCCAAAACCCUCGUGCGGUAAAUGCGCACAAUUGAAUGAUUGCUGUAGUGGUAGUGGUUUAUGACUUACUCCAUUUAGCCUGGUUCUUUGUAGCUGGGUGAAUACAUAUUCGUCUGCUUCAUAUGAGAGUAAGUCUGGUUCUGAUUAGGCUUGCAGAGAGCUGUCAGAAAGUCAGACUCUAGCAAAUAAGCCCCUGUAGGUUCACUUGGAAAAGCCCAUAAAAUGUCUGCUGUUCAUUUAAAUUAGGUUCAGAAAGAAACACGAACCUGAAAGCUGCCAGUGUUUAUAUAUUUGAUUAAGGGUGUUUUUUUCUUUGGAGGCAGAGGAGGCUGGGAGAGGAGUUAUUUGGGGAAUGAGCCUCGUCAGAGCGGCCGUAGGCCCAGGUCCUCGUUCCUGCAGACAAAGCGAGGGACAAGCAGGCAAGGGCAGGCACCCUGAGCUGCAGCGUAGCUAGAGUAAAUCCCACCUCUGAACCAAAGCCCAGCAGUGGAGGAGCAGCACAGCUACCUGGCAGUCAAUUUUGAAACCAUGACAGAUGUGGCAGUGGCAAAAACAACUUCUCAACAUAGAUUUCACAUCCAUGGCUUAAUUGCAGUUUCUCAACGCACCUCCUCUGAGCACAUUUGCCUGGGCUGCAGCCCGGAUGGCAAAAGAAAAAAAGGUUGAAAACAGCAGGUAGCACUCCUGAGCUCGCCAUGUCUGACAAGGUCUGAACACCACGCAUUGACUACACAUUCUCAGAUGCAACUUUAAUGUUGGCUCACCAAAAAAUGCAACAGCCUGGGAGUGACAACAGCCCCAAAAGGAGCUGUUCCUUGCAUGUGCGUGCACGAAACACCGCCUGCAGGCGAUGCCCUGCAUCCAUCCUACCACUUCUUUGCUGCUCUGCCUCCUCCAAGGAGCUCGUUCUCCCAUGUUGGGAUCUCAUUUCACAGUUUUAGGGUUCUCUGGGCAUUGAAACAUGCUAGUUUAGUUAUUGUUGCUGGCAGGAAGGCGGCAAAGGGCAAGCAAGAGGCACUGCCCUUGUUUCAGUCAGACCUUCCUUCGUGCCAUGGCAGGGUCAGGCUGCGUUCGGCUGAGCACAUGUGUGCUAAUUAUAGGAAGCAGUUAACAGGCACAAGGAAUUAUCUGUAUCUUAUCCAGUGCCGGCUUUCUAUUAAUUGUUCCCAAAGACUGAGGCUUUUCAGACUUUCGUUUUAAUUAGAAGGAGCAGCUGCCAAAAGCAAUUUCUCUCAGGCAUCUUUCAGCAUGCGUUGAAGUCUUCAUUUAUCUGAUAUUAUUACAAGGCUGGGUUUAAAAAAAAUAAAACAACAAACAUUAGAAGAGCCCAUCUUUUCAGGUUCUGAGAAGUCUCUUGGACAGCAGCUGGGGGGAAAGCUUGUCUCCUGUCCUUGGCUCAGCCACAUCUCCCAAGCAGCUUUGGUCACUAAAGGCACUAUGAUGUGUGUCAGGGUGAGAACAGGCUACCUUUAAGCCUGUUUGAAAACAGGUCAAGGGGAUGGCUAUCUGCAGGACUGCUUAAAGGCACAGUUGUGUUUCUUGGGUGGUUUAGGGAAGCUUUCUGCAGAGAGGCAAUCUGCCUUUUGAUCAUAUUCCCUCUACUCCUCCCUCCCUGCCUGAUUUUAGUCCACGAGAGGCAAGGAGCCUCCUGUAAAAGCAAACGGGCAGAGAAAAUGUGGAGGGAGAACAACGGGGACAAAGAAAGCAUGCUGGAUGCCCAGACACAGAUGCAUUAACAGGAUGUUCCAGUGACAAUGGCAGCCCCACACAGGUUGCCUGCUUGGCUCCUAACGGUUGCAUAGUUCAUACGUGAUGGGCCAAACCAUCCCCAGUAUGAGGAAAGUGCCAUCUGACCAAGGGAACGCAGUCUUCUAAGCUCUGGGUGGCCUGGGACUUGCAGGGAAACAGCACAAACCCAGGAACAUUGCAGAAAACACUUUCACAGAGGUAUUUUGUCUAUGACAAGUAACAUACACAUGUUGCAGAGAUGGCCACGAUGUCCUCUGGAGAA